ACACGACUACAUUAGAUACCCGCGUAGUCCUAGCCGUAAACGAUACUCGCUAGGUGUCGGCCACGGUGCGACCGUUGUCGGUGCCGUAGGGAAGCCGUGAAGCGAGCCACCUGGGAAGUACCGGCCGCAAGGCUGAAACUUAAAGGAAUUGGCGGGGAGCACCACAACGGGUGGAGCUUGCGGUUUAAUUGGAUUCAACGCCGGAAAUCUUACCGGGACCGACAGCAACAUGAAGGCCAGGCUGAAGACUUUGCCGGAUUAGCUG
rnacentral:rRNA from 1 species